CUCUAGCUACAGGCUUAACACAUGCAAGUCGAGGGGCAUCGGAAAGAAAGCUUGCUUUCUUUGCCGGCGACCGGCGCACGGGUGAGUAACACGUAUCCAACCUGCCCUUUACUCGGGGAUAGCCUUUCGAAAGAAAGAUUAAUACCCGAUAGCAUAAUGAUUCCGCAUGGUUUCAUUAUUAAAGGAUUCCGGUAAAGGAUGGGGAUGCGUUCCAUUAGGUUGUUGGUGAGGUAACGGCCCACCAAGCCUUCGAUGGAUAGGGGUUCUGAGAGGAAGGUCCCCCACAUUGGAACUGAGACACGGUCCAAACUCCUACGGGAGGCAGCAGUGAGGAAUAUUGGUCAAUGGGCGCUAGCCUGAACCAGCCAAGUAGCGUGAAGGAUGAAGGCUCUAUGGGUCGUAAACUUCUUUUAUAUAAGAAUAAAGUGCAGUAUGUAUACUGUUUUGUAUGUAUUAUAUGAAUAAGGAUCGGCUAACUCCGUGCCAGCAGCCGCGGUAAUACGGAGGAUCCGAGCGUUAUCCGGAUUUAUUGGGUUUAAAGGGAGCGUAGGUGGACUGGUAAGUCAGUUGUGAAAGUUUGCGGCUCAACCGUAAAAUUGCAGUUGAUACUGUCAGUCUUGAGUACAGUAGAGGUGGGCGGAAUUCGUGGUGUAGCGGUGAAAUGCUUAGAUAUCACGAAGAACUCCGAUUGCGAAGGCAGCUCACUGGACUGCAACUGACACUGAUGCUCGAAAGUGUGGGUAUCAAACAGGAUUAGAUACCCUGGUAGUCCACACAGUAAACGAUGAAUACUCGCUGUUUGCGAUAUACAGUAAGCGGCCAAGCGAAAGCAUUAAGUAUUCCACCUGGGGAGUACGCCGGCAACGGUGAAACUCAAAGGAAUUGACGGGGGCCCGCACAAGCGGAGGAACAUGUGGUUUAAUUCGAUGAUACGCGAGGAACCUUACCCGGGCUUAAAUUGCAGUGGAAUGAUGUGGAAACAUGUCAGUGAGCAAUCACCGCUGUGAAGGUGCUGCAUGGUUGUCGUCAGCUCGUGCCGUGAGGUGUCGGCUUAAGUGCCAUAACGAGCGCAACCCUUAUCUUCAGUUACUAACAGGUCAUGCUGAGGACUCUGGAGAGACUGCCGUCGUAAGAUGUGAGGAAGGUGGGGAUGACGUCAAAUCAGCACGGCCCUUACGUCCGGGGCUACACACGUGUUACAAUGGGGGGUACAGAAGGCAGCUAGCGGGUGACCGUAUGCUAAUCCCAAAAUCCUCUCUCAGUUCGGAUCGAAGUCUGCAACCCGACUUCGUGAAGCUGGAUUCGCUAGUAAUCGCGCAUCAGCCACGGCGCGGUGAAUACGUUCCCGGGCCUUGUACACACCGCCCGUCAAGCCAUGGGAGCCGGGGGUACCUGAAGUACGUAACCGCAAGGAUCGUCCUAGGGUAAAACUGGUGACUGGGGCUAA
rnacentral:rRNA from 1 species